rnacentral:rRNA from 1 species
UACGGGGGGGGCAAGCGUUGUUCGGAAUUACUGGGCGUAAAGGGCUCGUAGGUGGCCAACUAAGUCAGACGUGAAAUCCCUCGGCUUAACCUGGGAACUGCGUUUGAAACUGGGAGACUUGAGUGUGGCAGAGGGGGGUGGAAUUCCAGCGUGGUAAGCAGUGAAAUGCGUAGAGAAUGUGGAGGAACACCGAUGGCGAAGGCAGCCCCCUGGGCCAACACUGACGCUCAGGCACGAAAGCGUGGGGAGCAAACGGG